rnacentral:lncRNA from 7 species
AUGGAGGAAUCUGUCCAGAGCUGUGCCCCUGCUUGCCACAGGAGCUGCGCGGGAGGAGAAGAACGUGGGCCAAAAGGAAUGGAGGAAUCUGUCCAGAGCUGUGCCCCUGCUUGCCACAGGAGCUGCGCGGGGUAGGAGAAGAACGUGGGCCAAAAGGUAAAGAGGAGAGCUCCUUUGGGUUCUGGGCUUGAAGCAAAGCUG